rnacentral:rRNA from 1 species
GAGUUUGAUCCUGGCUCAGAUUGAACGCUGGCGGCAGGCCUAACACAUGCAAGUCGAGCGGUAACAGAGAGUAGCUUGCUACUCUGCUGACGAGCGGCGGACGGGUGAGUAAUGCUUGGGAAUGUACCUUAUGGUGGGGGACAACAGUUGGAAACGACUGCUAAUACCGCAUAAUGUCUUCGGACCAAGGCGGGGGACCUUCGGGCCUCGCGCCAUAAGAUCAGCCCAAGUGGGAUUAGCUAGUUGGUGAGGUAAUGGCUCACCAAGGCGACGAUCCCUAGCUGGUUUGAGAGGAUGAUCAGCCACACUGGGACUGAGACACGGCCAGACUCCUACGGGAGGCAGCAGUGGGGAAUAUUGCACAAUGGGCGCAAGCCUGAUGCAGCCAUGCCGCGUGUGUGAAGAAGGCCUUCGGGUUGUAAAGCACUUUCAGUAAGGAGGAAAGGUUGGAUGUUAAUAGCAUUCAGCUGUGACGUUACUUACAGAAGAAGCACCGGUAACUCCGUGCCAGCAGCCGCGGUAUACGGAGGGUGCGAGCGUUAAUCGGAAUUACUGGGCGUAAAGCGUACGCAGGCGGUUUGUUAAGCGAGAUGUGGAAAGCCCCGGGUCAACCUGGGAACUGGNUUUCGAACUGGGAACUAAGUGUGAUAAGGG